UAUUAUAUGCAGAGCUGGGGAGUGGUGGUCCACACCUGUAGUCCCAGCAUCUUGGGAGGCUGAGGCAGGAGGAGUGCUUGAAGCCAGGAGUUCAAGUUCAGUCUGGGCAACAUGGGGAGACCUGUCUCAAAAAAAAAAACUAAACAGAGUGUAAUUAUUAGCAUUUCAUAACAUUAUUUGUCUUGGUAUUUGAAUACAUUAGAAUUCUAUUUGUCCUGUAAUUAAUUUCUAACUCACUUUGAUAAAAUACCAAAACAAAGGAAACAAAGUCAACAAAACUUAAUUUGUAUCCUUCAUCCUUUUGAACAGCAGCUAUGUGAACAUUUGGAAAGAACCUUAGUAAGGCGGCUUUUCUAUCACCUAUAAAAAGUUGCCAACAGACAUCAAAGGAGUUGACAAAAAAAAAAAAAAAAAAAUGCAGGAAGCUGGAAGGCAGGCCUGGAUGGAAUUGGAACUGUGCUGCUGUGACUCCUUUCCCCAGUGCUAAAAAAUAGAUGUAGUCAGGAGGAACUAACAUAGAUUGGCAGUCACCCACACAUCUCUGGUGUUACCUUAGUCUUGUUUCAAGCAUACAAGCCACAAGUUUUUGGGUGUCUUAAAUAUACCUAAGUUGUAGUCUCUAUUUAUUUUUUUAUUAUACUUUUAAGUUCUAGGGUACAUGUGCACAACGUGCAGGUUUGUUACAUAUGUAUACAUGUGCCAUGUUGGUGUGCUGCACCCGUUAACUCGUCAUUUACAUUAGGUAUAUCUCCUAAUGCUAUCCCUUCCCCCUCCCCCAACCCCACGAUGUAGUCUCUUUCUAAGUUCCAUUAAACAGAAUACUAAAAUGACCUUUUUUGGUGACUCUUGCCUGUCUCUACCACUAACUGGCUUAAAAGCUGCUGGGUCUCUUCCUUUGUAAAGAGCAACAUGAGUUUACAGAUGAGGUCUGUCUAUAUCUCCUCUUAUGUUUUUCUCUUAAGAACUUCAAGUGAAAUAAAACAAAAUAGCUCUUUUAUGAAUACUACCUUUUGUAUUUUACCUCAUAAGAUUUAAUGUAUUAAACAUUUCUAUACCAACAUGCUGGGACUUUGUAUUGUCUGUCCUAUAUCCUCAUUGCCUAGACCCUCCUUGACCUUGGUGGUUACUUAGAUAGUACAUGAAUGAAAUGAAAAAUAGAUUACACCAUACCCUAACCAAGUCUUGUAAGAAGCUAAAGGACUACAAAUCCCUGAGAUGAUUAGCACAGAAAAGAGAAAAGGAUGAACUUGUUAGAGGUUUUGUUCUCUAUGAAAUCCAAUAAAAGAAGUGGAUAUAGUGCAAAUUUUUAUGGAGCAAUUUUAAAGGGAGAAGGUAUGUAUUUGUACAAAAAAGGUUCAAAGUUGCUCAUUUGAAAAGACAUGGAAGAUAAUGAAAAGAUGCACAGU
rnacentral:lncRNA from 1 species